AUUGCUUCUCGGCCUUUUGGCUAAGAUCAAGUGUAUUUUUUAUAAACAUAUAUUUUUAUCCCCAGGGGUACAGGUCUGUGAAUCGCCAGGUUUACACACUUCACAGCACUCACCAAAGCACUCAAUACAUGUUUUGUAAACAAUGACU
rnacentral:snRNA from 1 species